rnacentral:rRNA from 1 species
AACGAACGCUGGCGGCAGGCCUAACACAUGCAAGUCGGACGAGGUUUUCGGACCUAGUGGCGGACGGGUGAGUAACGCGUGGGAACGUGCCCUUUGGUUCGGAAUAGCCCCGGGAAACUGGGAGUAAUACCGGAUAAGCCCUACGGGGGAAAGAUUUAUCGCCAAAGGAUCGGCCCGCGUUGGAUUAGGUAGUUGGUGGGGUAAUGGCCUACCAAGCCGACGAUCCAUAGCUGGUUUGAGAGGAUGAUCAGCCACACUGGGACUGAGACACGGCCCAGACUCCUACGGGAGGCAGCAGUGGGGAAUCUUAGACAAUGGGGGAAACCCUGAUCUAGCCAUGCCGCGUGAUCGAUGAAGGCCUUAGGGUUGUAAAGAUCUUUCAGUGGGGAAGAUAAUGACUGUACCCACAGAAGAAGCCCCGGCUAACUCCGUGCCAGCAGCCGCGGUAAUACGGAGGGGGCUAGCGUUGUUCGGAAUUACUGGGCGUAAAGCGCACGUAGGCGGAUCAGAAAGUCAGAGGUGAAAUCCCAGGGCUCAACCUUGGAACUGCCUUUGAAACUCCUGGUCUUGAGGUCGAGAGAGGUGAGUGGAAUUCCGAGUGUAGAGGUGAAAUUCGUAGAUAUUCGGAGGAACACCAGUGGCGAAGGCGGCUCACUGGCUCGAUACUGACGCUGAGGUGCGAAAGCG